UUUAUCAGAGAGUUUGAUCCUGGCUCAGGAUGAACGCUGGCGGCGUGCUUAACACAUGCAAGUCGAACGGGGAUUAUUUCAUUGAAGCUUCGGCAGAUUUGGCUUAAUCCUAGUGGCGGACGGGUGAGUAACGCGUGGGUAACCUGCCUUGUACAGGGG
rnacentral:rRNA from 1 species